CAUGUGGGUCAGCCUUAUGACUACAUGAGAGGCACUGAGCCGUGCCCUCCAGAUGGGGAAAUGCCGUGGCAGGUGGACUGUCAUUCAGGGUGAGUUCUAACUAGCAGUUGUGGUUCUUCGAUGAAAAGCAUGCAGGAUUGUGGUUAAUUUUUGGUGACUGUGUCACUUCAAAAACUAAAAUUGAGCCAGUAAGACACAUGCCUGGAAUCCCAGCACUUAGGAGGAAGAUGCAAUAGGGCCAGGAGUUCAAGGUUAUCCUCGGUCACAUAGGAAGUCUAAGGCCAACCUAGGCUGCAUGAGACCCUGUCUCAGAAAAACAGAGAGAGAAAAAAUUAUGAUGGCAUGUCAAACUGAAAUCGAAUCUUGCUUUCCCAUCUCCAAAGCUACCGAACUACACAGAACUUCACCCAAGGCUUCCCACUUCUCUAUUCUGGUUUUUACUUGAAGAAAUUUAAGGAUUAUGUCAUCGAAAAACACUGAGGUCACUGUAUCCCCACUCCGCAGACACUAUCAGCAAAAGAGGGAAAAGGAGAAAAGCGCACGCCAGGCCUCUGGGAUAGGCAGGUGGCCGCAGCUCUGAGGAGGCGGCCGGAAGCCGAGGCCUGAGAUGAGAGAGAGGUGGACUGUGCCAGCUGAGGGACCAGCACCUCUGACAGCAUCAGGCAUAUGGGUGAAAGUGGUUUGGAGGCGACAAAGUCCCUGUCUGCUGUGACCCAGCAGUGGCUUCCAGUGUCUCAGGAGACGUGGGUCCGGAACCCAAAACUAGAGAGAGCAAGCUAAGGAGCAGCAUGCAAUCAUUGUCCUCUGCUUUCUGACUAUGGAUGCAACAAGAACAACUGCUUCACCUUGGCCCCUGCCGUGAUGGACUGCACCUUGAACUUUUUCUGUUUGCAAGUAUGGAGGUGUGGAGAAGCAUCAGGAGACAAAAUGCUACAAGUGUGAGGACCAGAGUUCAGAUCUCCAGACCCACGUAAGUGCCAUAUGGGCACAGGUAGCCCGUAAUUCCAGUACUCAAGAGAAAGAGAGUAGCAUGCCUGAGCGAGCUGGCAAGCAAGACUAGCCGUAUUGGAGAUUUGGGGUUUCGGUCAAGAGACCUUGCCUCUCUAUAUAGGGUGCAGAGUUAUCAAGGGAAACACCAACAUCAGUCUCGGGCCUCUGUGUUGCACAUGUACAGGUACAGACACACGUACAUACACACGUGCACAUGUGCACACACAGAGACACAUAUGAAAAGACAGACAAAAGUAUGAGACAAUGCCCAUUUUUGACAGCAAAGAUUAGGAAUCUUCUAGCAAGUCCAUAAGUUUCUCUCAUCCCUCACCAUUCUCAAGCCAAUGUCACUUAAUGCAGAGAAAGGCUUUCAGGGAGGUGC